AGUAGAGGCAGUUGUUUCAUCUUGUUUUAAAAAAGAUGGAUGGUUAUUUUGGCCAACUUGUGUUCUUGCAAUGAAAGCUACCUAUAAUAAUUUUCCAAUCGUUGAUUCCUGCAACAAUCUUAGACUUAAAAGAGUUAAAGUAACUGGAGGUCAUUAAAUUUUACAGUAGUUAUUGCUAUUUCAAUUGUUUUGUAUGAAUAAAAAAACUAUUAUAGCUUUAUAUUAACGUUGAAGAAUAAACUAUUUGAUUUUUAUUUUGGAAUAAGUAAUAUUUUAAAUCUGUUUAUGGCAUUAUUACUGCCUAGAUAUAUAUUGUAAUCUGUUUACACUUAUUCUACAUUUUUAUUUUUAUAUAAUUUUGUUUAUAUUUAUUUUACUAAAUAAUUACUAAUAGAUAAAAAAGUAUGUGCAGGAUUUAAUUUCACGACUAAAGAGGACUCCAAAGAAGAAUUAAAGUUUUGGUGGAUCAAAGAUUGAGGAAUGAUUUGGUUUUAACUGGUUUGCAUCUUAUGAAUGAAGUACAUAAUUCUUUAUCUCAAUGAUAUCCUGGCUUAUCGAUUCGAUAUCCUGUAAAUCCACUCACACACAUAAAUUUUACUCACACAUAUAAAUCCUGUAAAUUCACUCACACACAUAAAUCUUAAAAAAG